rnacentral:ncRNA from 1 species
UUGAUGACGGGAGGAGAGACCACAAGUUGUGGCGCCGAAGGAGCAAACCCAUGUGGUGAAUCUCUCAGGCAAAAGGACGCCCGUCGGACG